rnacentral:rRNA from 1 species
GACGAACGCUGGCGGCGUGCUUAACACAUGCAAGUCGAACGGAAAGGCCCUGCUUUUGUGGGGUGCUCGAGUGGCGAACGGGUGAGUAACACAUGAGUAACCUGCCCUUGACUUUGGGAUAACUGCAGGAAACUGCGGCUAAUACCGGAUAGGAGCUCCUGCUGCAUGGUGGGGGUUGGAAAGUUUCGGUGGUUGGGGAUAGACUCGAGGCAUAUCAGCUUGCUUGUGGAGUAGUGGCUUACCAAGGUUUCGACGGGUAGACGGCCUGAGAGGGUUACCGGCGACAUGGGGACUGAGGUAGGGCUCAGAAUGCAACGGGAAGCAGCAGUAGGGAAUCUUGCACAAUGGGCGGAAGCCUGAUAUAACGGUGCCGCGUGCGGGAUAACGGCCUUCGAGUUAUGAACCGAUUUCGCCGGUGACGAAGAGGGAGUGACGGUAAUGGGUAAAGAAGCACCGGCUAACUACGUG